CUUUCAAGUCCUUCUAAAGUCUUUUCGUUUGCAAAAUGCCCUCCGUUUUGAAGACACGAACUCUUGCAGCCCCUCUUACCAAGCAAUUACAAUGUGGAAGACUGUUAUUCGCUGCAUAUCUUCACAGCAAAGCGGACACGGAAGGAGAUAACAUCCAAUUAUUCAAUAACACUUACUCUCGAGACGCCAUGACUAACAUCACUCCAAGCAUUUUGUCCAAAGUCGGACGAAACCUGCACCUUUGUAAAAAUCACCCACUAAGCAUUUUAAGAGAACGAAUCCAGGAACAUGUUUAUGCGGACUACAGAACUCGCUGGGGCGGCCCCAUGUUUACAAUGGUGGAUAAUUUGUCUCCAGUUGUCACGGUGGAACAGAACUUUGAUAGUUUGCUUGUUCCAAAAGAUCACGUUAGUCGAACGAAGAAUGAUAACUACUACAUAAACGCUGAGCACUUGCUUCGCGCUCACACCUCAGCGCAUCAAAGAGACUUGAUUAAAACUGGACUGGAUGCUUUUCUUGUUACGGGUGAUGUUUACAGGCGGGAUGAAAUCGACAUGUGUCAUUACCCUGUGUUUCAUCAGAUGGAAGGUGUCAGGUUGUUUUCACAGCACGAGCUGUUUUCACAAUAUGAGGAGCCAUUGGAAAUGUUUGAUCAAAGCAGAAGCAAAACCCCUGAGAAACAAGCUGCACACACACUGGAGGCAGUAAAGCUUGUUGAGUUCAGUCUCAAGCAAACACUGGUGAAGAUUGUUGAACACCUGUGUGGAGAGGGAGUGGAAAUGCGCUGGGUUGAUGCAUACUUUCCCUUCACCCAUCCUUCCUGGGAAUUAGAAGUUAAUUUUGAAGGUGAAUGGUUGGAGCUGCUUGGGUGUGGCGUGAUGGCACAGGAGAUACUUGUAAAUGGUGGAGCUGAACACAAGAUAGGCUGGGCAUUUGGUAUUGGACUUGAGCGUUUGGCCAUGAGGCUUUUUAACAUCCCUGAUAUUCGGCUGUUUUGGAGUGAUGAUCCAAGAUUCCUUUCUCAGUUUGAGGGAAACAAAGUUGUUGAGUUCAAGCUGUUCAGCAAGUACCCACCUACUUACAAGGAUGUGGCGUUUUGGAUUCCUGAAAACUUCUCUCCAAAUAACCUGUUUGAUGUGGUUCGUGGGGUGGCCGGUGACAUAGUGGAAAAGGUGGAGUUGGUGGACACAUUCUGUCAUCCCAAGACUCAGAGAGAGAGUCACUGCUAUAGGAUAACUUACAGGUCCAUGGAUAAGACUUUUACUGACAUUGAAAUUAAUAGUAUUCAGGAUGAGGUCAGGGAAGAAAUUCAGAAGAGAUUAUUGGUAGAACUUAGGUAGAUUACUCCAUCUAUGUCAUUUUGAAAUAGAUGCUUGAUCAAGCUGUGGUGUGAUUUGAAGAAAUUGCACUGGUUUUGCUUUUUUAAGCCACUGAACCAAUCAGAUGCUAAACUUGUCAUUUUCCAGUGCUUGAGGCAGGUUAGGUGCAACUAAUUGAGUUCUCAUUGGCUCCCUGAGAUUCUUUUUUUUUGUUCUGAUUGGCUUUUAUGUUUACAUUGCCCUGGAUUUAAAUUUAAGAAACUUAAAAAUUGUACAGUGUUCUAAAACAUCUGCAUUCAAAUUUUGUUCCCUCAUAUAAGUGGGUCACAUUGAACCAAAGAAAUUGUUACUUGUGAAAUAGGCUUUAAAUUUUAUUUCCCACUAAGAAGACAACGUAAACAAGUAUUAGUAGAUUUUGAGUACACUUUUUCCCCUAACAAAUUGUGUUUUGGCUCCAGUUGUUCAAAGGUUGGAUAAGGCUAUGCACUGAAUAAAUUUUAUCUGGUGAAUAGUGCAGUAUAUUUUGCCAUCACUUAUCUACUGGAUAGUGAUUUAUCCAUUGGAUAAUGUUAUCAGACCUUCAUACAGUUGGGCCUUGAAGUUUAGAGCCUGUUAAUUUAAGAAAUCCCGAGGAAAACACACUUUGUAUAGUUUCAGAUACAGCUAAUUCCUUAUUGAGUUUGAAUAACAUUCAUAAAUCGUUUGAAAGUAAACCUCUGACGAUACUUAA
rnacentral:misc_RNA from 1 species